rnacentral:tRNA from 4 species
GGGAGGUUAGCUCAGUUGGUUCAGAGCGCUGCUUUCACACAGCAGAGGUCGAAGGUUCGAGCCCUUUACUUCCCA